GAACUUAGGAUCAAUUAAACCUGAGGCCUUCAAAGCCUUAAAUAGAAGUGAAACUCUUCUAGCUCCUG
rnacentral:tRNA from 1 species